GUUUAAAGGAGAACUUCUGGGCUGGUCUGAGUCGGAGAUGUCCGUACCACUGCUCCAGCCUCCUCAGGGCUGUGAGGAACCAGGCAGAGGGAGGCAGGUCACCCAGCAGCAAAUCCUCAGCCACACUGUAAACAGUCACAGGAUGCAGAGGGGACUGGGAUGAAAGGCCUGAUUGGAGAGCUGGGGCCAGUCUCCACCAGUCUUACUGGGAUUAAGUGGCUGCAGUGUGGAGGAAGGUGGAGGCAUCGCAGAGUCACACUGACAACCAUCAACAUGUGGAGAUGGAAGGAUAAAUUCUGUUGGAGUAAUAACGGCUUCUGGGCCUUUGGGAGGGAUUAGAGAGAAGGCUGCCGUGUGGCGGGGGCCGGGCCAGGCCGCAACAACGCCGGUGUCGCCAGAGUGAUCUGCCAGGUACGCCACGGUGGAUUAGAGCUACUAGGGCUGGCAC